rnacentral:rRNA from 1 species
GAUGAACGCUGGCGGCGUGCUUAACACAUGCAAGUCGAAUGAUGAAGCUGGAGCUUGCUCUGGUGGAUUAGUGGCGAACGGGUGAGUAACACGUGAGCAACCUGCCCCUGACUCUGGGAUAACAGCCGGAAACGGCUGCUAAUACCGGAUAUGCACCAUGAACGCAUGUUCUGUGGUGGGAAAGAUUUUUCGGUUGGGGAUGGGCUCGCGGCCUAUCAGCUUGUUGGUGAGGUAAUGGCUCACCAAGGCGUCGACGGGUAGCCGGCCUGAGAGGGUGACCGGCCACACUGGGACUGAGACACGGCCCAGACUCCUACGGGAGGCCGCAGUGGGGAAUAUUGCACAAUGGGCGAAAGCCUGAUGCAGCAACGCCGCGUGAGGGAUGACGGCCUUCGGGUUGUAAACCUCUUUUAGCAGGGAAGAAGCGAGAGUGACGGUACCUGCAGAAAAAGCGCCGGCUAACUACGUG